AUCCAUAGAUAUAGCUUGAAUGAUGUUGUAUGUGAGUAUUCUUGAAAGAUUGAAGCAAGAAAAUCACCCCUCCCUUGUUUUUGUAAUUUUCGAAAAAAUGGGUGUUCAACCCUUCAAAAAAAUUUCUUUUUCUUUCCUUGAUUUGGGGUGAAAAAUGAGAUCUAUGUGAUGUUUGGUGAUGAUUGAUGUGUGUUGUGAAAUAUAUGUCUUGAGAUGUGAAAGUUCGAUGGAGUUUAGUUUACCCAAAAUUGGGAACUUUUGAGUUGAUGAUGAAGAUGAGUCCAUGAGAUGUAUAUGAUGAUGAUUGAUGGAGUAAAUUGAGUAUAUGAUGUCAAUUGAUGAUUUUGAUAUGAGUUAGUUUAAUAAAAUUAGGGAUAUGUGUAUCUAUGCUCUAAUUUGUAAAUUGAUGGGUUAUAUGUGAGAUUAAUUGGUUAAGAUUGAUGGAUCUAUGAAUGGAUUAAAGAUUUAUGUGUGUUUAUAAAAUUUCAAAGAGUUUAGUUUAAUAAAAAUUAGGACUUUCUUGUCUAUGUGUCUAUUAAGUGAUUUGGCUUAAGAUAUAUGUAAUUGAGCAUGAAAUUAGUGUCUAUUUAUGUUUGAUUAGGUCUAUUAUAGGCUAAGUAAAAUUUUGACUUAGUUUAGUUUAUAUGAGUUUCUGAGUUCUCAUAUGAUGUGAGGUUGAUGCUUGGUAAAAUGAGGUCUAAUUGCUUUAUGACCAUUAUGUGAACGUUUAUCAUGUUUUAUUUAGAGUUUUAUGUUGAUACAUGAGUUUUCAUUAGAGUUUAGUUUACAUGAUAAAAAGGGAAUCUAUAUGUGUAUGAUGAGUUAUAUGAUGAAUAAGAUCAUGUUUGAGUAUUUGAGUAAUUUUGAGCAUGAAAAUGAGAAGGGAAUUUAAUUGAUGCGUUCGUUGAAACGUUUUCCAUGAGAAUUGAGUUUAUGAUGUAAGAGGAGAGUCGAGAUUGAGUAUGAUGAGUAUUAUGUUGCACUUAAAUGUUUUUGAGUACUAUAAGUGUUUAAAAUGAGCUUGGAUGAGUUUUCUUUGAAGAAAUGUUGAGUUGAGCAUGUUUGCUUGUGUGUUUGAGUUCGGAGUCAUUUUUUUAUGAUACACUGACCUACUGUUUUCGAGGGGUUUUUGAUACCUAAACACCAUGAAAAGUUUAUAGUAAGUAUAUUUGAGAAUCUUGAGCACACCGGUAAAAUUUGAAGUCAUUUGGACUUCGUUUACUAUUUUUACAAAAUGUAAAACCAAAACUGCUACGUUCAGCCGAAUUGUUCGGUGAGUAGCCAAUAAAGUCACCUUUUUCAGUAUCUUUCCUUACCUUUUUAGAACCCAAAUUUUUAUUUUUAAGACAUGAGUGUCUUACCUAUGUACCCACCAAAUUUCAGACUUUUUUCACAACGUUUACUAUUUUUCAAAAAUCAAACUUUUCGGUUGCUAAAACCUGUCGAAUAUGGUAGACUGUAGUAAAACAGUCAUAUCUCCUAAAAUACUUGGAGUUUUUUAUCCUAAUUUUUUUAAAAUGAAACUAGACUCAAAGAGAUUUCUUUUCGUAUAGGUUACGACUCUAGGGGAGUUCUGUAUCGAGUCUGCUGAAGUUUUGAAGUUGAGUCAGUGCAGAGUGAAGUUUAUUUUUGACUUGUCUAUGUGUGAUUUUUCAUAUGCUUAAGUGUUUAUGUUUGUUUAUGUGCUUGAUUGUUAUGAGUUUGGUCCGAGUUGAGAGUUAAGUUGAGAGUAGGACGUGUGAAUCCUUAGAAGUUGAGUAUACCUAGGGAUUGAGUUUUAAUGGGUAAAUAGACGUUGAGUGAGAAGUUAUAGUUUGAGAUGAGAUUGGAUUUAGAAAAUGAGUUUCUAACUAAGGUUUGUUUUAUCACAUGAACCUUCGAUGACGAUGAUGAUGAUAUAUGAAGGCCCGAGCGAGACGAAGAAGUAAGUCGCCUGAUUUCUUUCCAGAAUUAGCGAAGGACUUCAGGCUAAGCGAGGAGCGAGAUUGGUCUGGUGCUGGUGGAGGAAAGUUUCAGUCGAUGUAUUUUAAAUUUCCAUAUCGCCUUUAUGAUAUUAGAGUCUUGAUGUUUGAGAUACUUAGUUUUUUUUUGAAAUCAAGCAAUACACUCACGGUUAAGUGUCUUCAUACAUAUAAUCGGUUCGCCUUUUGCUGCGAUUCUCUGCAUAUUAUUCUUCCUUAUGAAAAAUGAGCUAUACCCGUUUUGUUUUUGUUCGUGAAAUUCAUGAUAUUUAUAAAGUUAUGACGAUGUUGACGUUUUUA